rnacentral:rRNA from 1 species
GACGAACGCUGGCGGCGUGCUUAACACAUGCAAGUCGAACGAAGUGGCGAACGGGUGAGUAACGCGUAAUCAACCUGCCCAUCAGAGGGGGACAACAGUGGGAAACGACUGCUAAUACCGCAAAUCGAAGGAGGGGAUUGCGUCUGGUUAGCUAGUUGGUGGGGUAACGGCCCACCAAGGCGAUGAUCAGUAGCCGGUCUGAGAGGAUGAACGGCCACAUUGGGACUGAGACACGGCCCAGACUCCUACGGGAGGCAGCAGUGGGGAAUCUUCCGCAAUGGACGAAAGUCUGACGGAGCAACGCCGCGUGAGUGAUGACGGCCUUCGGGUUGUAAAGCUCUGUUAAUCGGGACGCGGUACCGGAAUAGAAAGCCACGGCUAACUACGUGCCAGCAGCCGCGGUAAUU